UAGGCCAGGGGGCGGGUCCUGUGUCUGUGAUUGGCCGGGGGGCGGGCCCUGUGUCUGUGAUUUGUCAGGAGGCGGGUCCUGUGUCUGUGAUUGGCCAGGGGGCGGUCCAUGUGUCUGUGAUUGGCCGGGGGGGGGGGCCUGUGUCUAUG